AUAUCAGUCUCCUGGGGAUCUUGUUAAAAUGCAGGCUCUGAUUUAGUAGGUCUGAGGUAGGUGCUUGAGAUUCUGUAUUUCUAACAAGCUCCCAUUUGAUGCCUGU
rnacentral:pre_miRNA from 1 species